UACGAAGGGGGCUAGCGUUACUCGGAAUUAUUGGGCGUAAAGCGUGCGUAGGCGGUUUAGUAAGUCAGAAGUGAAAGCCCCGAGCUCAACUUGGGAACUGCUUUUGAAACUACUAAACUUGAGUGUUGGAGAGGAUAGCGGAAUUCCUAGUGUAGGGGUGAAAUCCGUAGAUAUUAGGAGGAACACCGGUGGCGAAAGCGGCUAUCUGGACAACAACUGACGCUGUUGCACGAAAGCGUGGGGAGCAAACAGG
rnacentral:rRNA from 1 species